rnacentral:rRNA from 1 species
GGGGAAUCUUGCGCAAUGCGCGAAAGCGUGACGCAGCAACGCCGCGUGAGGGAAGACGGCCUUCGGGUUGUAAACCUCUUUCAGGAGGGACGAAGGUUCAGGCGCGAAUAGCGCCCUGGACUGACGGUACCUCCAGAAGAAGCUCCGGCUAACUACGUGCCAGCAGCCGCGGUAAUACGUAGGGAGCAAGCGUUGUCCGGAAUCAUUGGGCGUAAAGCGCGCGUAGGUCGCCCGGUAAGUCCGCUCUGAAAGUCACAGGCUCAACCUGUGAAAGCGCGUGGAUACUGCCGGGCUAGAGUCCGGAAGAGGCGAGUGGAAUUCCUGGUGUAGCGGUGGAAUGCGCAGAUAUCAGGAGGAACACCAACGGCGAAGGCAGCUCGCUGGGACGGUACUGACACUGAGGCGCGAAAGCGUGGGGAGCGAAC